CCAAUAGCGUAUAUUAAAGUUGUUGCAGUUAAAAAGCUCGUAGUUGAAUUUCGGGAUCAGAUUGUCGGUCGUGCCUUAAGGGGUAUGAACUGGUGUAGUCAAUUUCUCACCUUCUGGAGAACCGCGAUGUCCUUAAUUGGGUGCCGCGGGGAACCAGGACCUUUACUUUGAAAAAAUUAGAGUGUUUAAAGCAGGCAUUUUGCUUGAAUACAUUAGCAUGGAAUAAUAAAAUAGGACGGAUGAUUCUAUUUUGUUGGUUUCUAGGACCACCGUAAUGAUUAAUAGGGAUAGUUGGGGGCAUUAGUAUUCAAUUGUCAGAGGUGAAAUUCUUGGAUUUAUUGAAGACUAACUACUGCGAAAGCAUUUGCCAAGGAUGUUUUCAUUAAUCAAGAACGAAAGUUAGGGGAUCGAAGACGAUCAGAUACCGUCGUAGUCUUAACCAUAAACUAUGCCGACUAGGAAUCAGACGAUGUUAAUUUUUUAAUGACUCGUUUGGCACCUUACG
rnacentral:rRNA from 1 species